GCCGGGUGUGGUAGCGCACGCCUGUAAUCCCAGCUGCUUGGGAGGCUAAGGCAGGAGGAUCGUGAGCUCAAAGCCAGCCUCAGCAAUGGCAAGACGAUAAGCAAUUCAGUGAGACCCUGUCUCUA
rnacentral:sRNA from 1 species